GCAGACGACCGUACAAAUUUUGUUGACAAAUUUGUGGUGAAACAAAGUGAAGAGACCUUCACAAAGUUGCUGUUUUUUCAACUUUGAUAGCCUACAUUAGACAGCAUGGCUGAAUAUAUUCACCAUCUCCGCCAGCUUGAUCGGAACAGAGAGUUGAUAGGCAGACCUCAGAGAGGCCUUCGUGACCCAUGAACCCUUUUGAAGUGUAUGAUGAUAAGUCAUUUCGGACCAGGUACUGGUUUUCCAAAGAGACAGCGCUCUACCUCAUCAACUUGGUGGAUGAAGAGCUGAGGAGGACGACAGACAGAAACGACCCAAUACCUAUACAGGUAGUGACAGCACGUCGAUUCUAUGCUUUUGGGUCAUUCCAAAAGAUGCAUGGUGAUGAGGCACAACUUUCACAGUCUUCUGUAUGCAGAGUCAUCAAAGACGUGUCAGAAGCAUUUGAAAGA